rnacentral:rRNA from 1 species
GCAUGCUCGGCGUACGGCUCAGCAACACGUAGUCAACCUGCCCUUAGGUAAGGAAUAAUCUCGGGAAACUGAGGAUAAUACCUUAUAAGAAAAAGGAUCUGGAACGCCCUUUUUCUCAAAGCUUCGGCGCCUAAGGAUGGGACUGCGCCUGAUUAGGCUGUUGGUGGUGUAAUGGACCACCAAACCUGCGAUCAGUACGGGCCAUGAGAGUGGUAGCCCGGAGAAGGGGACUGAGACAAGGCCCCUAGCCCUACGGGGUGCAGCAGUUACGAAACCUUUACAAUGCACGAAAGUGUGAUAGGGGAAUCCCAAGUGCCAUAGUUUUACUAUGGCUGUGGUUAAGUGUAAAUUACUUAGCAAGAAAGGGGUGGGUAAUACCGGUGCCAGCAGCCGCGGUAAUCCCGGAGCCCCGAGUGGUGGCCGCGUUUAUUGGGCCUAAAGCGCCCGUAGCCGGAUUAGUAAGUUCUCGGUGAAAUUGUUUGGCUUAACUGAACGAAUUGCCUUGAAUACUGCUAGUCUAGGGAUCGGGAUAGGUUAGUAGUAUGCCUAGGGGAGGGGUAAAAUCCUUUAAUCCUAGGUAGACUAUCGAUGGCGAAGGCAACUAACUGGAACGAGUCCGACGGUAAGGGACGAAAGCUAGGGUAGCAAACGGGAUUAGAUACCCCGGUAGUCCUAGCUGUAAACGCUGCCCGCUGGGUGUUGCACAUUCCUAGAGUUUGUGCAGUGCCGUAGUGAAGACGUUAAGCGGGCCGCCUGGGGAGUACGGUCGCAAGGCUGAAACUUAA